GACGGAAGGUGCAAGCGUUGCUCGGAAUUAUUGGGCGUAAAGAGCUCGUAGGCGGUCUGUCGCGUCGGAUGUGAAAGCCCGGGGCUUAACCCCGGGUCUGCAUUCGAUACGGGCAGACUAGAGUGUGGUAGGGGAGAUCGGAAUUCCUGGUGUAGCGGUGAAAUGCGCAGAUAUCAGGAGGAACACCGGUGGCGAAGGCGGAUCUCUGGGCCAUUACUGACGCUGAGGAGCGAAAGCGUGGGGAGCGAACAGG
rnacentral:rRNA from 1 species